AUCGCUUCUCGGCCUUUUGGCUAAGAUCAAAGUGUAGUAUCUGUUCUUAUCUGCUUAACAUCUGAUACGUAUUCCAUUGGGAUACCAGAAUGUUAAACUUAUUUUUGGAACCGGGCGGAUGGAUGGGGCUUGCUCCUCCUCUGCCACGGGUCGACCCGGUAUUGCAGUACCUCCGGGACCGGCCCACACUUA